GCUUGCUCUCGGGUGACGAGCGGCGGACGGGUGAGUAAUGUCUGGGAAACUGCCUGAUGGAGGGGGAUAACUACUGGAAACUGUAGCUAAUACCGCAUAAUGUCGCAAGACCAAAGUGGGGGACCUUCGGGCCUCAUGCCAUCAGAUGUGCCCAGAUGGGAUUAGCUAGUAGGUGGGGUAACGGCUCACCUAGGCGACGAUCCCUAGCUGGUCUGAGAGGAUGACCAGCCACACUGGAACUGAGACACGGUCCAGACUCCUACGGGAGGCAGCAGUGGGGAAUAUUGCACAAUGGGCGCAAGCCUGAUGCAGCCAUGCCGCGUGUGUGAAGAAGGCCUUCGGGUUGUAAAGCACUUUCAGCGGGGAGGAAGGCGGUGAGGUUAAUAACCUCAUCGAUUGACGUUACCCGCAGAAGAAGCACCGGCUAACUCCGUGCCAGCAGCCGCGGUAAUACGGAGGGUGCAAGCGUUAAUCGGAAUUACUGGGCGUAAAGCGCACGCAGGCGGUCUGUCAAGUCGGAUGUGAAAUCCCCGGGCUCAACCUGGGAACUGCAUUCGAAACUGGCAGGCUAGAGUCUUGUAGAGGGGGGUAGAAUUCCAGGUGUAGCGGUGAAAUGCGUAGAGAUCUGGAGGAAUACCGGUGRCGAAGGCGGCCCCCUGGACGAAGACUGACGCUCAGGUGCGAAAGCGUGUGGAGCAAACAKGAUUAGAUACCCUGGUAGUCCACGCCGUARACGAUGUCGAUUUUSSAGNGUUGYKCCCWKGAGRCGUGGCNUUCCGGAGCUAACGCGUUAAAUCGACCGCCUGGGGAGUACGGCCGCAAGGUUAAAACUCAAAUGAAUUGACGGGGGCCCGCACAAGCGGUGGAGCAUGUGGUUUAAUUCGAUGCAACGCGAAGAACCUUACCUGGUCUUGACAUCCACAGAACUUCCCAGAGAUGGAUUGGUGCCUUCGGGAACUGUGAGACAGGUGCUGCAUGGCUGUCGUCAGCUCGUGUUGUGAAAUGUUGGGUUAAGUCCCGCAACGAGCGCAACCCUUAUCCUUUGUUGCCAGCGGUUCGGCCGGGAACUCAAAGGAGACUGCCAGUGAUAAACUGGAGGAAGGUGGGGAUGACGUCAAGUCAUCAUGGCCCUUACGACCAGGGCUACACACGUGCUACAAUGGCAUAUACAAAGAGAAGCGACCUCGCGAGAGCAAGCGGACCUCAUAAAGUAUGUCGUAGUCCGGAUUGGAGUCUGCAACUCGACUCCAUGAAGUCGGAAUCGCUAGUAAUCGUAGAUCAGAAUGCUACGGUGAAUACGUUCCCGUGCCUUGUACACACCGCCCGUCACACCAUGGGAGUGGGUUGCAAAAGAAGUAGGUAGCUUAACCUUCGGGAGGGCGCUUACCACUUUGGAUUC
rnacentral:rRNA from 1 species